UGGGGAAUAUUGCGCAAUGGGCGGAAGCCUGACGCAGCGACGCCGCGUGGGGGAUGACGGCCUUCGGGUUGUAAACCUCUUUCGCCCCCGACGAAGCGUGAGUGACGGUAGGGGGAGAAGAAGCACCGGCCAACUAGGUGCCAGCAGCCGCGGUAACACGUAGGGUGCGAGCGUUGUCCGGAAUUAUUGGGCGUAAAGAGCUCGUAGGCGGUGUGUCGCGUCGGCCGUGAAAACCUGCAGCUUAACUGUGGGCUUGCGGUCGAUACGGGCAUCACUGGAGUUCGGCAGGGGAGACUGGAAUUCCUGGUGUAGCGGUGAAAUGCGCAGAUAUCAGGAGGAACACCGGUGGCGAAGGCGGGUCUCUGGGCCGAUACUGACGCUGAGGAGCGAAAGCGUGGGGAGCGAACAGG
rnacentral:rRNA from 1 species